AAGUCGUAACAAGGUUUCCGUAGGUGAACCUGCGGAAGGAUCAUUAAUGAUAAUAUGAUAUGAGAGAUUGUGAAUCGUGUUUUGCAGGGGGUGAUUGAUUGAUUACUGGGGUGAUUGGAUGGAUCGCUGCAGGGGGUGAUUGAUUGAUUACUGGGGCAAUACACAAGGAACAAGAGCAAUUAUGGAGGAGAAAGUAGAGUGCAAGUGCAGGGGUGGAGUUUGGAAGCAGGGGUGCAUUCAUGCACAUAAUGCAUACACACGACACAACAAAGUACAAGGCACAAACAUAACAACAACAAGAAUACAACUUUUAACAAUGGAUCUCUAGGCUCUU
rnacentral:misc_RNA from 1 species